CCUGUGGGUUGUAAACCUCUUUUCUCAGGGGAAGAAGUUCUGACGGUACCUGAGGAAUCAGCAUCGGCUAACUCCGUGCCAGCAGCCGCGGUAAGACGGAGGAUGCAAGCGUUAUCCGGAAUUAUUGGGCGUAAAGCGUCCGUAGGCGGUUCAGAAAGUCUGCUGUUAAAGCUCACAGCUCAACUGUGAAUCGGCAGUGGAAACUUCUGGACUAGAGAGUGGUAGGGGUAGAGGGAAUUCCUAGUGUAGCGGUGAAAUGCGUAGAUAUUAGGAAGAACACCAGUGGCGAAGGCGCUCUACUGGGCCAUUACUGACGCUGAUGGACGAAAGCUAGGGGAGCGAAAGGGAUUAGAUACCCCUGUAGUCCUAGCUGUAAACGAUGGACACUAGGUGUUGGCCGA
rnacentral:rRNA from 1 species